AGACUGAGGGUGCAAGCGUUGCUCGGAAUUACUGGGCGUAAAGGGUGCGUAGGCGGUCUCUCGAGUCUGGCGUGAAAGCCCAGGGCUCCCCCCUGGAAGUGCGUUAGAAACUGAGAGACUUGAGUACCGGAGGGGAGAGUGGAAUUCCCGGUGUAGCGGUGAAAUGCGUAGAUAUCGGGAGGAAUACCGGUGGCGAAGGCGACUAUCUGGACGGUUACUGACGCUGAGGCACGAAAGCGUGGGGAGCAAACAGGAUUAGAAACCCCAGUAGUCC
rnacentral:rRNA from 1 species